UACGUAGGGACCAAGCGUUGUUCGGAUUUACUGGGCGUAAAGGGCGCGUAGGCGGCGUGUUAAGUCACUUGUGAAAUCUCUGAGCUUAACCCCGGGCCUGCAGUGGGUACGGGCAGACUAGAGUGCGGUAGGGGAGACUGGAAUUCCUGGUGUAGCAGUGAAAUGCGUAGAUAUCAGGAGGAACACCGAUGGCGAAGGCGGUUGGCUGGAGCUUUGCUGACGCUGAGGCGCGAAAGCGUGGGGAGCGAUCCGG
rnacentral:rRNA from 1 species